rnacentral:rRNA from 1 species
UACGUAGGGCGCAAGCGUUAUCCGGAAUUAUUGGGCGUAAAGAGCUCGUAGGCGGUUUGUCGCGUCUGCCGUGAAAGCCCCGGGCUCAACCUGGGAAUGGCAGUGGAAACUAGGGGACUGGAAUCUGGCAGAGGGGGGUGGAAUGCCGCGUGUAGCAGUGAAAUGCGUAGAGAUGCGGCGGAACACCGAUGGCGAAGGCAGCCCCCUGGGCUGAGAUUGACGCUCAGGCACGAAAGCGUGGGGAGCAAACAGG